CAUCACCAAUCCCUCUGUAAUUUGCUUCCUCAGCAGCUCCUGCUCCUCGAUGGUCUGCGGAUACCAUGACGGAGCAACCUUGAUCUUGGGAUCCAAGUCUUCGCAGCACUCGAGCAACUUCCUGUCGUACAGGGAUACAUCCUCUAGGUUAACAGCAGCUUCCAUGAUGUGCCUGAUGUAUCCAAGGAAGUUGUCAUUUGGUUGGAAACCAUAGAUUGUGAGUUUAGUCAGGUUGUAAUGCCUGAAACCAUCAGGUGCAGAUGACUCCCACUCCACGUUUGCUUUUUCAGAGUAACCCUGUUCUUCCCGUUCCACCUUGUCGGUCUGCAUCCCACACCAAUGGUCCCAAACCGUGACGCGCAUCUCCUUCAGGGAGGGUGCUGCCUCGAGAAAGAAGCAUGUCCAAGAAAUAUCACAUUCUUCUGGGAGUUCAUCCAGAUUCAGAACUUGCAGAUUCCGAAGAACAGGCGCCAACAGUUUCGGGCACUCUGGCUGAACCCAAAUCUGCAAUACAUACCAGCAAUAAAGGAUGUAGAUUAAGUUGAGAAUGAGGGACAAAUAACCUGAGAGAGAGAGAGAGAGAGAGAGAGAGAGAGAGAGAGAGAGAGAGAGAGUCUUGGUUAAACUAAUUACCUUUUCACUUCCGAAGUUGAGGUACAGGUCGCUUAUGUUGGGGACAUUAGCAAGGAAGUGACUUAACCUGAUAACCUCCUGAUAUCUCAUGGCUACAUUAGUGAGGCUUAGGCUUGAAAGCAGCGGGACAUUGCCAAAAGACAAAGGUUCAUGGGGACAGACCCACAAACUAAAAUCCAGAUGUUUGAGGUUUGGUAAGUAGUUGAGCUCGACUAAUUCUAAACUUGCAUGAUAGAUAUCAAGCUCAACAAGUCGUGGGUGCUCCACCUGUAGCUGCAACACGCUAUCCUCUGUUUCACAGAAUGACAAACGGAGAUACUCUAACAGUUUGCAUGUGGCGAUGAUAUUCGGAAUGUCAGUUUCACCAAGCUUCAAGUUGCGUAGGUAGAGACGCGUAAGGCCAGCGAAUGCAUCGGUACAGGCACCGAAAAAUCUCAUGAGUUGCUUCCCAUUGUGGCGGAGAUCAUAAGUAGAGUAAUGUUCCGGCUUCUUCUCUGGCAGAAUAAUGAACUCGACGCUGUCGAGGAGGUUGUUGGUGGCCAUGGCUCGGGCGACAGCUUUGCCAAUGGUGAGACAAUCAUAGUAUUUCAAGUAGAAACAAACGCUGAGAUGGCGAAGGGGGAUAUCCUGUCUUCUGAAAUUGAGAAUGUUGUCUGUUGCAUCGGCGACAGCAGCGUUCAUCGGGAUUGUAUCCUUCAAGGUGGCAUAACCGCAGUCGGGCACGAAGGAAUCAACGCUAAUUUGGAAUCGCGAGAGCAUGUGGCGGAGGUGGAUCGUCCUCUUGGAAAGGAGGCAGGUUCUGACAGCAUCGGGGGUGUUGAGACGGUCAAGGAUGUUGAGCAGCAGAUCAUCAGGUAGCUUGGUGGACCUAUCCACUACUAGUUGGGGGUUAUUGUGAGCUGCUGAUUUCUUCUGCAUCAAUCAAUAUAAUUGCAAAACGAAAUUAAUUAGUGCAUGCAUACAUAUCCAAGAGAAUACAGAUAGAGAAAUGCAAAAGGAAGGAAACAAUAGUAGAUGAAUAAAAGGCUAGUUAGGCGGCUUACAUUGCGGUUAUGGCAACUACCCUUCUUAUUCUUCAUGAUGGUAUGGUGGUUAAUUCCAACGAGGUGUAAAGUAGCUUGGCUGAUGGAUUCGAUUUCUUAAUUGGUUGUUUAAUAUUGCAGCAGCGCUUAUAUAUGCUUAAUUGUUUGCGAUGAAUAUAUAAAGAGGAGGAGAAGGACGGUGACCUCGACUGCCAACUAGUCCUCCGUCCGUCUCCUAAACGAAACGAAGGAGAAGAAUUUCCAUGUUUGUUAGAUUGAGUCCUUUACAGAUUUUUCUUUUUGGGAACAAGUCCAUUACAGAUUUAAAAGGCUACUCUUAGAUCAAAGGUAAAAGCUUCUUACUGUUUGUAUGAACUAUCUUUGUGUUUUCCCCCGUUGAAGAAUUUAGUUGGUGAAAACAGAUCUUCUUACUGUUUGUAUGAAGUAGCAUUCCAGGUUUGUAGACUGCCGGUUCAUAUUGAAAACAAAUCUCCAUUCUCUAAACACAUCUGAGAGUGUUUUUUGUUUAUUGCUUGCCAAAGCCAGGAGCAAGAACCAGGCAAAUCUCAACUUUCCCUUAGGAUUUAUCUCUAAGUAGGACAAUACACAUUACAAACCUGGAAUGGACAAUACACAGUUUUUACCCGGAGGUAGUACCAUUCACUAAUUCUAAAGGUCUUAAAAAAGUGAGAGUGCGAUGGCAGGUGAAAAUUAACAACCCCAUACUAAGCUUAAAUAGUGGGGUAAAUAGUAACCGUAGGGGAAAGGAUAAACGAAUAUAUUUUUUCACUGCACCAAAAGAAUAUCAGAAUAUUCAGAACAUUCACAUACAUUACUCCAGUUACUGGUCCGAAACCAAGUUGCAGGAAACACGAUGAGUGAAAAAAAAGAACCCGAAUAUUCAGAAAACUCAAUAUGUAUUACUGUAUAGCAAAACCAAGAUUUACAUUUUUGCGCAUAGUAAAUUCAGAUUUAAGACCGGAAGCGAAUUAUAUCAGAGGAAGCAAUCCCGAAUCCCUCUGUAAUUUUCCUCCUCACCAACUCCUGCUGCUUGAUGGUCCGCGGAAAUCUUGACAGAGCAACUUUGAUCUUGAUCUUGGGAUCAAGGUCACUGCAGCAAUCAGAGAACCUCCUGUCGUACAGGGAUAUCCUCACUAGGUUAACCGCGGCUUCCAUCAUGCACCUGAUGUAUCCAACGAAGUUGUCAUCAGGUUGAAAACCGUAGAUGAUGAGCUUAACCAGAUUGUGAUGCUUGAAACCAUCAGGUUGUGAGCUUUGCCACUCCACGUUUGUUUUGUCACGGUAACCCAGUUCUUCCCCGUUCCACGCUGUCAGUCUCCAUGUCACACCAAUGGUCCCAAACUGUGAUGGACAUCUUCAGGUUAGGCGCUGCCUCGAGGAAGAAUCUUGUCCAAGCUAUAUCACAUCCCUCGGGGAGUCUAUCCAGAUUCAAAACCCGCAGUUUCUGGAGAACAGGCGCCAGAAGUUUUGGGCACUCUGGCUUAACCCAAAUCUGCAAAUACAAGUAAUAAAAAAAAAAGGAAGAAUGUGGUUUUAAGUUAAUUAAGAAUGAGGAACAAAUAACCUGACCUGACAAAGAUGCUUGGCUUGCUUAAAGUAAUUAUUAUUACCUUUUCACUUGCGAAGCUGAGGUGCAGGUUGCUUAUGUUGGGGACAUUAGCAAGGAAGUGACUUAACCUGAAAACCUUCUGAUAUCCCGCGCUUACAUUGUUGAGGCUUAGGCUUGAAAGCAUUGGGACGUUGCCAAAAGACAAGGGUUCUCCGGGAGAGACCCACAUACCAAAAACCAGCCGCUUGAGGUUGGGUAGAGAUUUGAGGUCGACUAGGUGGAAACCUGCAUCGUAAAUGUCAAGCUCAACAAGCCGCGGGUGUUCCAGCUGCAGCUGCAACACGCUAUCCUCUGAAUCACACACCGACAUGCACAGAUACUGCAGCCGUUUGCAUGUGGAGAGGAUGUUGGGAAUGUCAGCUUCAGCAAGCCUCAAGUUCUGGAUGAAGAGCUGUGUAAGGCCGGCGAAUGCAUCAAGAUAAGAACCAAGAAAGGUCAUGAACUGCUUCCCAUUACGGCGGAAAUCAUCAACGGUGUAACACUCUGGCUGCAGCUCCGUCAAGAUGAUGAACUCGACGCUGUCGAUUUGGUUGUAGGUGGCCAUGGCUUGGGAAACAGCUUUGCCGAUGGUGAGACAGUCGUAGUAUUUCAAGUAGAAACAUAUGCUGAGUCGGUGAAGAGGGACGUCUUGGCUUCUGAAACUGAGGACAUUGUCUGUUGCAUCAGCCACGGCGCUGUUGGCCUGAAUAAGACGAGGCAAAGAGACAAAACGAGAACCGUUGAAGAAGGAACCAGCACGUCGGGGGUGUUGAGACGGUCCAGGAUGUUGAGCAGGACAUCGUCAGGUAACUUAGAGAGCCUAUCCACUGGUAGUGGUAGGGAACCAGUGGAUGCUGCUGAUUUCUGCAUCGAUUGCAAAUUGCGGAAACUAAAUAUAUUAGUGGCAGGCACCAGGCAGCGAACCAAUGUAGUAUAACUUACGAACAAAACACAAAACAAAUAACGUAAAUGUAAACUAAACUAAAUUGAUGUUUUUACAGCACAUAACAAUAAUAAUAAAUAGUUUAGAAGUAGUUUAUCAGAGACAGCAUAGCAACAUCCAUGGAUCUGACAGACAGGCGAGAGAGAUGCAGAUGGAAGAAGAUAGGAGGCGGCGGCGGCUUACGUUGCGGUUGCGGCGACUUCCCUUCUUGUUCUUCAUGGAUGACCUGAAGCGGGCGCUGGUGGAUGAGAUCGGAAUCAGAUGUGUUGGCGAUCUUCUUGUGUUUCUUCUAUACUAGUAGAUAUAUAAAUAUGGAUGAAGGCGCUCGGUCGGCCGGGCCGGAUCCUAUGCGAAAUUGGCUCUCGGACAUCGAAAUCCCCCACUCCCUUUUCGACUGCUAUUUCGGCAAGUCAUAUCAAGAAACUCCAUUGUGGAGAAGAACAAGAUCAGAAUCAGACCAGAUCGCCGUUCGCCGUUAGCGGCGGCGUGCGUUGCCGAUGGCGAUGGGAUUUAGGGUUUUUCGGCCUCUCGGGGACGACGGCCUAGUACACUUUGCUGGGCCGCCGAUAUAAAUGGGCCCACUCAUCCUUUCUCCCUCAGCUAUGGGGAAAAGUACACCGAAGGUCCCACAACUUGUCAUCGGGUUACAAAAUCGUCCCCAAACCGCAAAACAAAAUACUAAGAUACUGGAGGUCCCUCAAUUAGCAAAACCGUUCGCUUGAGAUCCUAUGUGGUUUUGACCCCGGUUUUGUCUGACGUUGCGGAUGAGUUAGCGUGGACCCCACCUGUCAGCAUUGCCACAUCAAUCUUCUCUCUCUUUUCCUCUCUUCUCUAUUCUUUCUCAUCCUCAUCUCUCUCUCUCUCCUCUCCGACAGCGAGUCUGUGAGGUGGGAGAGGAGGAGGGCGUCGGCGACCGGCGACGCGGCGGCGGAGGAAGGGGCGGCGCGCGGGCGGCUGAGGGCGGAGCGGCGACGCGGCGGCGGGGGAAGGGGCGGCGCGCGGGCAGCGGGGGAGGGGCGGCGACCGAGAGGAGUUCAGCCGCACUCUCGCCGAGCGCCUCGUCCUCGACAUCGAGAAGGUGAUGUGCCAGCUCGACGCUCUCCCUUCUAGGCUAAUGCCCCCCGUGCCGCCGGCGCCACCUUCGGUUUCAGCGGGAGCACCUCGUGCUCCUCCUCCGCAUGGACCUUCCCCAUCGCCGCCGCCACCGCUGGCGGCCGCCGUUGAGGCACCGCCCUCCUCCUCUCCCGCCGCCCACGCGCUGCUCGUCCGUCGGCCGCGCGUCGCCCCUCCCACGCCGCCCGCGCGCCGCCCCUUCCCCCGCCGCCGCAUCGCCGCUCCGCCCUCGGCCGUCGGCGCGCCGCGCCUCCCCUGGCUGCCCGCGCGCCGCCCCUUCCCCACCGCCGCGUCGCCGGCCGCCGGCCGCCUGUCGCCGACGCCCUCCUCCUCUCACGCCGCCCGCGCGCUGCUUGUCCGCCGGCCGCGCACCGCCCCUCCCCCGCCGCUCGCAAUCGCAGAGAAUGGAGAGAUAGAAAGAUGAGAUGGGAGAGAAGAGAGGAAAAGAGAGAGAAGGCUGACGUGGCAAUGCUGACAGGUGGGGCCCACGCUGACUCACCCACCACGUCAGACAAAACCGGGGUCAAAACCACCAGAGGACCUCAAGCGAACGGUUUUGUUAGUUGAGGGCUCCGAUAUCUGAUUUUGCGGUUGAGAGACAAUUUUGUAACUCGAUGACAAGUUGAGGGACUUUCGGUGUACUUUUCCCUCAGCUAUGACACCCCACAACUGUUAGUAUGUUACAACUACUAGUAAUAUAUUAAUUGAUCUUCCUCAGUGGUUUUUAAAGGUGAUUUUUGUACUAUGUGACAUUAUUCCUAUAAAUAAUUAGACCUUGUGUAGUUGGCAAAAAAAAAUUUACUCCUACGUGUCACAUCGGAUAUACGGACACACAUUUGAAGUAUUAAACGUUGUCUAAUAACAAAACAAAUUACAUAUUCCGUCAGGAAACUGCGAGACGAAUUUAUUAAACCUAAUUAAUCCGUCAUUAGCAAAAGUUUAUUGUAACAUCACAUUGUCAAAUCUUAGCGCAAUUAGGCUUAAAAGAUUUGUCUCGCAAUUUACACGCAAUCUGUAUAAUUGGUUUUUUUAUCUACAUUUAAUACUCCAUACAUACGUAAAAACGAAACCAGGAUAUUCAAAACAUUCAAAAUAUAUUGCUUACAUUAUAGUAUAUCCAAGUUACUGGCCUGAAACCAAGUUGCAGGAAACAAGAGAAUUCUAAUGCAUGCCUUGAAACGUUUGAAACUAGAGUGUUUCGUCACAAAAGGAAAGAAGAAGAAACCAAAAAUAUUCAGAACAUUCAGCAUACAUUAUUGCUACUCAGCUAAUCGCAUUUUCGCGCUGAUGAAUUAAGACCGGAAGUUAAUUACAUGAGGCGAUGCCAUCACCAAUCCCUCUGUAAUUUGCUUCCUCAGCAACUCCUGCUCCUCGACGGUCUGCGGAUACUUUGACGGAGCAACCUUGAUUUUGGGAUCCAACUCUUCACAGCAAUCUUCCACCUUCCGGUCGUACAGGGAUAUCUCCUCUAUGUUAACCGCGGUUUCCAUGAUGUGCCUGAUGUAUCCCAAAAAGUUGUCAUCAGGUUGGAAACCGUAGAUGGUGAGCUUAACCAGAUUGCAAUGCCUGAAACCAUCAGGUGAAGAUGACUCCCACUGCACGUUUGUUUUGUCACAGUAACCCUCUUCUUCCCGUUCCACCUUGUCCGUCACAAUAUUACACCAAUGGUCCCAAAUUGUGAUGCAUAGCUCCUUCAGGAAGGGUGCAGCUUCAAGAAAGAAGCGUGUUAUCACAUCCUUCACGGAGAUCAUCCAGAGUCAAAACUUGCAGAUUCUGGAGAACAGGCGCCAGCAGUUUCGGGCACUCUGGCUGAACCCAAAUCUGUAAUACAAACAAGUCAUAAAGGAAGGAUGCAGGGGUUAAGUUGAGAAUGAGAUGUUCAUAACAUGAUAGAGAGAGAGACUUGCUUAAAUUAAUUACCCUUUCACUUUUGAGGUUGAGAUGCAGGUCUCUUAUGGAGGUUACAUUAGAAAGAAACUGACUUAAUCUGAUAAGGUUGUGCAAUCUCAGACCUACAUUAGUGAGGCUUAGGCUUGACAGCUGCGGAACAUUGCCAAAAUACAAGGGUUCUUGGGGAUGUCUCCAACUAUUAAAGACCAGCCGUUCGAGUUUCGGUAGAGAAUUGAGCUUGACUAGUUUUAAACAUCCGUGGCAGAUAUCAAGCUCAACAAGCCGCUGGUGUUCCACCUGCAGCUGCAACACAGUACCCUCUGUUUGACACAUGAACAUACGCAGAGACUCUAAUCGUUUGCAUGUGGCAAUAAUAUUGGGAAUGUCAGUUUCAGCAAGCCUCAAGUUCUGUAAGUAGAGUCUUGUAAGCCCAGCAAAGGCAUCAGUACAAGCACCAAAAAAGGUCAUGAGCCGUUUCCCAUUGUUGCGGAGACCAUAAAAAGUGUAAUAAUGUAGCUUAUAAUCUGUCAGAAUUCUGAACUCAGCGCUGUCAAGCUUGUGGGUUGCCAUGGCUCGGGCAACAGCUUUGCCGAUGGUGAGACAAUCGUAGUAUUUUAAGUAGAAACAUAUGCUGAGUUGGCGAAGAGGGAUCUCUUUGGCUCUGAAAUUGAGAACAUUGUCCGUUGCAUCGGCCACGGCGGCGUUCAUCACGAUAGUCUCCUUAAAAGUGAUAUAAUCAGGAUCUGGCGCGAACGAAACUACUCCCUCCAUCCAAAAAAAAAGUCAAAUCUGAGUUUCCGUGUCCAACUUUGAUUGUCCGUUUUAUAUAAAAUUUUUUUAUAAUUCGUAUUUUCAUUAUUGUUAGAUAAUAAAACAUGAUUAAUAUUUUAUGCGUGACUUGUCUUUUUAAUUUUUUUUUAAUUUUUUUAAAUAAGACGGAUGGUAAAACGUUGGACACGGAAACCAGGGUUUGUCUUUUUUUUUGGGACGGAGCGAGUAGGCCAAUUUGAAAGCGCGAAAGCAUGUGUCGGAGGUGGAGCGUCCUCUUAGAGAGGAGGCAGGUUCUGACGGCAUCGGGGGUGUCGAGGCGGUCCAUGAUGUUGAGCAGGAUGUCAUCAGGUAGCGUGGUGAACCUAUCCACCACCAUUACGGGAGCUGAUUUCUGCAUCGAUAUAGUGUUUAUUUGUGAAACUAAUAAUAAAUUAAUUAGUGCAACAGUAGUCAUGGAUCGACAGGGAAAGAGAAGACUGACAUGACAGAUGCAAUGCAAAUCAGUAAGUACUCCCUUCGUAUUUAUGAAGCCAUUGAUUUUUCGACCAACGUUUGACCAUUCGUUUUAUUCGAAAUUCUUAUACAAAUAUGAAAAUAUUUAUGUCAUGUUUAAAGAACAUUUAAUGACGAAUCAAAUCAUAAUAAAAUAAAUGAUAAUUAUAUAAAUUUUUUAGAUAAAACGAAUGAUCAAACAUUUAAUAAAAAGUCAACGGCGUCAUACAUUAAAAUAUGGAGGUAGUAGGAAGGGAAUAGACGGCUUACAUUGCGGUUGCGGCGACUACCCUUCUUGUUCUUCAUGGUUAAUGAAUUCCAAUGUUCAACGGCGGGGCCUGACCAUAACAGACAAGCGCUGCGCUUAUUGCGAUGGACGUCGGCUCCUCCUGACUUGUUUAUAUACUGAGAGGAGAAGAAGAGGAAAAGAAGGCGCCUCCGACUGAAUCCGAUUAGAAUAGGAAAAUAUUGGACACACUCGAUGAUUUUUAUGGCUUUUCAUCGCAUUCGAGACUGAUUCGAUUGCAUGAGCUGUUUAUAUAUACUUUUUUUUUUGGAAUAAAUUGGUUAAAGGAAUCAAUCAACAAUAGAAACUCAAUACUAGUACUAGUCACCAGCUGAUGGAUGGAGGCGUGGCGUGUCCGGAUAGACUUUUCCAGGCGAAGGCUACGGAACGAAACCGAUUGCUAAUAUGGUUAUGUUUAGUUCAACGUAAAGUUUGAAUUUUAAUUGAAAUUAGAGAUAAUGUGACUAAAAAGUUAUGUGUAUGAUAGAUUGAUGUGAUAGAAAAGGACUGAAAUUUGAAUCCAAACUUCGAAUCUAAACAUAGCCUAUAUAUACACACACUUCAGACAAACAGUUACCAGUCUUUUUACCUUCAUCUUCAGUAGGUCAGUAAAUAUUACAAACCUGGCAUUGAUUAGAUUAUAAACGCCUUUGAUCUCGCUUGAAUCUAGUACCACUGAUAAGAGAUUGAACACCAAUCUCUUGGUGGUACUUGAACAAAACACAUUUGCUUCAGCUGUGAGCUGGAUGGCAAGUUCUCUUACUGGACAAAGGGUGGAAAAUAUUUCAUUGCACCAAAUAGAAAAGGGAAACCAGAAUAUUCAGGAUAUAUAUUAUUAUGCAGCAAGCUUAAAUAUGUGCUGGCUACCGGCCUGAAACCAAGGUUGCAGGAAAGAAGACAAGUUCAAUCAAUGCCUUUAAACGUUUGAAACCAGAAUAUUUCAUAACAAAGAAGGAAAAGGAACCAAAAUAUUCAGAACAUUCAGCAUAUAUUAUUUCCAGUACCACACAGCGAAUCACAGUUUUGCACCGAGCAAAAUUAAGACCGGAAGUGAAUUACAUGAGGCGACGCCAUCACCAAUCCCUCCGUAAUUUGCUUCCUCAGCAGCUCCUGCUCCACGAUGUUCUGCGGAUACCUUGACGGAGCAACCUUGAUCUUGGGAUCCAAGUCUUCACAGCACUCAAGAGCCUUCCUGUCGUACAGGGAUAUGUCCUCUAGGUUAACAGCAGCUUCCAUGAUGUGCCUGAUGUAUCCAAGGAAGUUCUCAUUUGGUUGGAAACCAUAGAUGGUAAACUUAGUCAGGUU
rnacentral:lncRNA from 1 species